AUUGAACGCUGGCGGCAGGCCUAACACAUGCAAGUCGAACGAGCGGCGGACGGGUGAGUAAUGUAUGGGACACUGCCCGAUGGAGGGGGAUAACUACUGGAAACGGUGGCUAAUACCGCAUACCAUCGGAUGUACCCAGAUGGGAUUAGCUAGUAGGUGGGGUAAAGGCUCACCUAGGCGACGAUCCCUAGCUGGUCUGAGAGGAUGACCCGCCACACUGGAACUGAGACACGGUCCAGACUCCUACGGGAGGCAGCAGUGGGGAAUAUUGCGCAAUGGGGGCAAGCCUGAUGCAGCCAUGCCGCGUGAAUGAAGAAGGCCUUCGGGUUGUAAAGUUCUUUCAGUAGGGAGGCGUUACCUACAGAAGAAGCACCGGCUAACUCCGUGCCAGCAGCCGCGGUAAUAC
rnacentral:rRNA from 1 species